GGCUCAGUGCAGAGAGUAUGUUUUAGAAACUGGUUGAAAUGAAGUGUUCUCAAACUCUUCAGCUGCUCACCAGUUUCUUGUCUGUUGAUUCCAGGAUUUAAGCAUUGAGGAGCAGUCAGAAUGUACUCAGGACUUUUACCAGAAUGUGGCUGAAAGAAUGCAGACUCGUGGAAAAGUGCCUCCAGAGAAAGUGGAGAAGAUAAUGGAUCAGAUCGAAAAGCACAUCAUGACACGUC